rnacentral:rRNA from 1 species
AUGGCCGGAGGCGGCGGCAAGCCGUUCGGGGACAACGUGUUCGCCGGCCACGCGGCCGCCGGCGCCGCGGCGAUCAGCGCCUCCGCGGUCGCCGUCCACCCCCUCGACACCGUCAAGAGCCUCCUCCAGUUGAGCGCGGCGGGGCAGAAGCAGAAGAUGGAGAUCCGCCAUGCGGUGGACCGGCUCAUGCACGUCUCCGGCCCUGCAGGUCUUUACAGUGGCAUUGGAUGGUCAAUAUUAGGUAAACUGCCUGGUUUGGGAGCGCGUUUUGGGACCUAUGAGCUUUUAACAGCCUUCUAUAAAGAUGGCAGGGAGGACAACCAUGUUAAUUAUUCUGAGGCAAUGUUGGCUGGCAUAACUGCUGGUGCUGUAGAGGCAUUUGUGUGCACACCAUUUGAACUUCUCAAACUUCGGUCCCAAGUUGGUUCUGCCAUACCUAUGAAAGCUACGAACCCUGCUAAUGUUGUACAGGAGUCGUUUCCACUGCUUUCCAAGCUAUUACCUGGUCAUGUCCCUGACAUGAGAGUAUGGAAUGGCAGUGUCAGUCUGUUGUCCAAUCUUUCCCCAAAGCAUCCUGACAUGAUGGGUGCCCUGAAACAGCACCCAUGGAUGCUGACUGGCUCUGGGAAGCCCCCGUUACCCUCUGAUGUUCAGGUGCCUUCGAGAGUGAUAGCACUUGAAGGAUGGGGUGCUUUAUGGAGAGGACUUAGGCCAGGGGUAGCCCGAGACUGUGUCUUUAGUGGAAUGUUCUUUUCUUGUUGGCAAUUCAUACAUACAGCGAUGCUUACUUGGCAGUCUGUUAACAUGAACCCUGAACCCAGGAAUUUAGAAGAAGCAGGUCCUGUACCCCCUUUAGCUUCUAGUCUUGCUGCAGGCUUCUCUGGAGUUGUAGCAGCUGCUGCUUCACAUACUUUUGAUACUGCCAAAAGUCGUUCACAGUGCACUGUGAUACCUAAGUAUAUAGCAAUGGAGAGGAGGUUUCUUAAAUGGAGAGCACCAGGAAUGUGGAUAGAGAGAGUGACGGGAACAUCACCUGCUGAUAGGAAUGUUCUAUUUCGUGGCAUUGGACUACGGAUGGCGCGCAGUGGAAUCGCAUCUUUUGUACUUGUUGGGUCCUACUAUUUAGCCGUAGAUCAGCUCUUGUAG